rnacentral:rRNA from 1 species
CGACCUGCACGAAUGGCGUAACGAUGGCGGCGCUGUCUCCACCCGAGACUCAGUGAAAUUGAAAUCGCUGUGAAGAUGCAGUGUAUCCGCGGCUAGACGGAAAGACCCCGUGAACCUUCACUGUAACUUGGCAGUGAUGCUCGGGACAGCCUGCGUAGGAUAGGUGGGAGACUUUGAAGUCGGGGUUCUGGCCUCGAUGGAGUCAACCUUGAAAUACCACCCUGUUUGUUCUGAAUGUCUAACCUGGACUCAUCACUGGGUCAGGGACACCGUCUGGUGGGCAGUUUGACUGGGGCGGUCGCCUCCCAAAGUGUAACGGAGGCGCCCAAAGGUUCCCUCAGCACGUUUGGAAAUCGUGCGUAGAGUGUAAAGGCAUAAGGGAGCUUGACUGCGAGACCGACAGGUCGAGCAGGUGCGAAAGCAGGCCUUAGUGAUCCGGUAUCUCCGCAUGGAAGGGAUAUCGCUCAACGGAUAAAAGGUACUCCGGGG